GUGUCAGCAGCCGCGGUAAUACGAAGGGGGCUAGCGUUGUUCGGAAUUACUGGGCGUAAAGCGCGCGCAGGCGGUUCUUCAAGUCAGAGGUGAAAGCCCAGAGCUCAACUCUGGAAUGGCCUUUGAGACUAGAGAACUAGGGUACGGGAGAGGUGAGUGGAAUUCCGAGUGUAGAGGUGAAAUUCGUAGAUAUUCGGAAGAACACCAGUGGCGAAGGCGGCUCACUGGCCCGUUACCGACGCUCAGGCGCGACAGCGUGGGGAGCAAACAGGAUUAGAUACCCCCGUAGUCC
rnacentral:rRNA from 1 species